GACGUAGGGCGCGAGCGUUGUCCGGAUUUAUUGGGCGUAAAGAGCUCGUAGGCGGCUUGUCGCGUCGACUGUGAAAACCCGCGGCUCAACCGCGGGCCUGCAGUCGAUACGGGCAGGCUAGAGUUCGGUAGGGGAGACUGGAAUUCCUGGUGUAGCGGUGAAAUGCGCAGAUAUCAGGAGGAACACCGAUGGCGAAGGCAGGUCUCUGGGCCGAUACUGACACUGAGAAGCGAAAAGCGUGG
rnacentral:rRNA from 1 species